rnacentral:rRNA from 1 species
CCUAAUACAUGCAGUCGAGCGGACAGAUGGGAGCUUGCUCCCCUGAUGUUAGCGGCGGACGGGUGAGUAACACGUGGGUAACCUGCCUGUAAGUACUGGGAUAACUCCGGGAAACCGGGGCUAAUACCGGAUGGUUGUUUGAACCGCAUGGUUCAAACAUAAAAGGUGGCUUCGGCUACCACUUACAGAUGGACCCGCGGCGCAUUAGCUAGUUGGUGAGGUAACGGCUCACCAAGGCAACGAUGCGUAGCCGACCUGAGAGGGUGAUCGGCCACACUGGGACUGAGACACGGCCCAGACUCCUACGGGAGGCAGCAGUAGGGAAUCUUCCGCAAUGGACGAAAGUCUGACGGAGCAACGCCGCGUGAGUGAUGAAGGUUUUCGGAUCGUAAAGCUCUGUUGUUAGGGAAGAACAAGUACCGUUCGAAUAGGGCGGUACCUUGACGGUACCUAACCAGAAAGCCACGGCUAACUACGUGCCAGCAGCCGCGGUAAUACGUAGGUGGCAAGCGUUGUCCGGAAUUAUUGGGCGUAAAGGGCUCGCAGGCGGUUUCUUAAGUCUGAUGUGAAAGCCCCCGGCUCAACCGGGGAGGGUCAUUGGAAACUGGGGAACUUGAGUGCAGAAGAGGAGAGUGGAAUUCCACGUGUAGCGGUGAAAUGCGUAGAGAUGUGGAGGAACACCAGUGGCGAAGGCGACUCUCUGGUCUGUAACUGACGCUGAGGAGCGAAAGCGUGGGGAGCGAACAGGAUUAGAUACCCUGGUAGUCCACGCCGUAAACGAUGAGUGCUAAGUGUUAGGGGGUUUCCGCCCCUUAGUGCUGCAGCUAACGCAUUAAGCACUCCGCCUGGGGAGUACGGUCGCAAGACUGAAACUCAAGGAAAAUUUGAACGGGA